rnacentral:misc_RNA from 1 species
CAACCCUCGAGCCCCCUCCCCGGGGGGCUUGGUGUUGGGGAUCGGCCCGCCCCCAGCGGCGCGCCGGCCCCGAAAUCUAGUGGCGGCCUCGCUGUAGCCUCCUCUGCGUAGUAGCACACCUCGCACCGGGACGCAGCGCGGCCACGCCGUUAAACCCCCCACUUCUGAA